rnacentral:rRNA from 1 species
CAAUAGCGUAUAUUAAAGUUGUUGCAGUUAAAAAGCUCGUAGUUGGAUUUCUGGUAGGAGCGACCGUGCCGAACUUGAUUGUUCGAGUAUUGUGUUGUCUUCAGCCAUCCUCGUGGAGAACUUUUCUAACAUUAACUUGUUGGGAUUGGGACCCGCGUCGUUUACUGUGAAAAAAUUAGAGUGUUUAAAGCAGGCAUUAGCUUGAAUACAUUAGCAUGGAAUAAUAAGAUAGGACUUUGGUACUAUUUUGUUGGUUUGCAUACCAAAUUAAUGAUCAACAGGAACAGUUUGAGGAUAUUCGUAUGAACAUGUCAGAGGUGAAAUUCUUGGAUUUUGAUCAGACGAACUACUGCGAAAGCAUUUAUCAAGGAUGUUUUCACUAA